rnacentral:rRNA from 1 species
AGAGUUUGAUCCUGGCUCAGGACGAACGCUGGCGGCGUGCCUAAUACAUGCAAGUCGAGCGGACGAAUCGAAAGCUUGCUUUUGAAUCGUUAGCGGCGGACGGGUGAGUAACACGUGGGCAACCUGCCCUGUAGACGGGGAUAACACCGAGAAAUCGGUGCCAAUACCGGAUAACACGAAAUGUCGCAUGACGUCUCGUUGAAAGACGGCGCAAGCUGUCGCUACAGGAUGGGCCCGCGGCGCAUUAGCUAGUUGGUGAGGUAACGGCUCACCAAGGCGACGAUGCGUAGCCGACCUGAGAGGGUGAUCGGCCACACUGGGACUGAGACACGGCCCAGACUCCUACGGGAGGCAGCAGUAGGGAAUCUUCCGCAAUGGACGAAAGUCUGACGGAGCAACGCCGCGUGAGCGAAGAAGGCCUUCGGGUCGUAAAGCUCUGUUGUUAGGGAAGAACAAGUAACGCAGUAACUGGCGUUACCGUGACGGUACCUAACGAGAAAGCCACGGCUAACUACGUGCCAGCAGCCGCGGUAAUACGUAGGUGGCAAGCGUUGUCCGGAAUUAUUGGGCGUAAAGCGCGCGCAGGCGGUUCCUUAAGUCUGAUGUGAAAGCCCACGGCUCAACCGUGGAGGGUCAUUGGAAACUGGGGGACUUGAGUGCAGAAGAGGAGAGCGGAAUUCCACGUGUAGCGGUGAAAUG